CUUCUGACGUUAGCGGCGAACGGGUGAGUAACACGUAAGGAAUCUACCUAUAAGCGGGGGAUAACAUUCGGAAACGGGUGCUAAUACCGCAUAAUAUCUUCUUCCGCAUGGAAGAAGAUUGAAAGACGGCUCUGCUGUCACUUAUAGAUGACCUUGCGGUGCAUUAGUUAGUUGGUGGGGUAACGGCCUACCAAGACGAUGAUGCAUAGCCGACCUGAGAGGGUGAUCGGCCACAUUGGGACUGAGACACGGCCCAAACUCCUACGGGAGGCAGCAGUAGGGAAUCUUCCGCAAUGGGCGAAAGCCUGACGGAGCAAUGCCGCGUGAGUGAAGAAGGCCUUCGGGUCGUAAAACUCUGUUAUAAGAGAAGAACAAAUUGUAGAGUAACUGCUACAGUCUUGACGGUAUCUUAUCAGAAAGCCACGGCUAACUACGUGCCAGCAGCCGCGGUAAUACGUAGGUGGCAAGCGUUGUCCGGAUUUAUUGGGCGUAAAGGGAGCGCAGGUGGUUUCUUAAGUCUGAUGUGAAAGCCCACGGCUUAACCGUGGAGGGUCAUUGGAAACUGGG
rnacentral:rRNA from 1 species